CUUACAUAUGAGAAAGGAUCCUUCAUGCGCAUUGCAAUGUGUUCUGCUGACCAUUAUCAGCUAAGGCCCAAAGAGUCCAAGUUGUCCUCAGCAACUACUUUCACAAGCUGAGGAUUUGGAGAUUUGAGGGGCUGCAUGCUGCCAGCAUCACUCCAGGAAGAAAAGCCUGGUACUGGACCCUCCACAGAAUGUGGCAGCAGAGUAAAUAGUUGGGAGGCACCUGCUCACUCCUUUUGCAUCCCGGCUCCACUGAGGAUGGAUAUGUUUUUCUGUGGCUUUUCAAAUACCUGGGAAGUAGGAACGAAGAAGGAACUAGUCUGAUAAGUCAAUACUUUCUUUUUCUGCUGAUUUUCCAGGCAGUUUCUGGUAGUAUGUAAGAAUAUGCCCCUUUGCUGCUCAUCAGAGCAGCAUUGAUCAAUUCCUACUGCAUAUAUGCUGCAUAUGCUACUUUAAUACUCUAUUGCUGGAAACUAUUGGAAAUCUUAUUCAAAAGAAUUAUCUUUCAAAGAAGCAACAUAUAGCACCAACUUGUGUUCUUGUUGCCCUCAGUUAAUAAGAACGUACAAAAUCUGAAUUUUGCUCUUGGGCUGUGGUUCUUCUUACCCAAACCCCCGGCAUGAUAAAGAUGGUGUUUCAAGGCUAAUAGUUAAGAAACCAAAGUAGUUUCUCCAUCUGUCUUUGAAGCAGAAGCAAGCUUUGGUUUUCGCAGUUCUAUAUCACAAUGAACAAUAUGCCCAAGUAUGUACAAGCCAAAGAGACGACAGUUUCACAGAACAACCAAAUUUGAGACUGAGAUGCUCUCAGAGAUUUUUAAUCAUUAGCCUCUCAGAGGUACUCUUUGAUGGAUGUGAAGGAAUAUUUAUGUUUCUUUGUCCCUCUACAUUCCCUUUACCACACGCAUGUAAAGCAUAUUAAAAAGUUACCUCCAUGUUCUCAUUUAGAUUUGAAUGUCAUAUGUUUGCACUGCUAAUUCCUUCUUAAAACUGCUUGAUCUGCUCAUGAUGAUUUAUAUAUAUGUUUAAUAAAUAGUUUCUUUACAUGUUCUCCA
rnacentral:lncRNA from 1 species